AUGCGAGCAAACGGCUCCAAAUGGAGUCUCUCUACGGUCUAUGGACCGCAAUCUGAUCAGGAGAAGUUUCUUUUUAUCAAUGAGCUCAAGAGCAUCAAGCCUUCUACUCUUCCCUGUUGGCUUGUGAUUGGCGAUUUCAACCUGUUGUAUCGGGCAUCAGACAAGAGCAACUCCAAUAUCAACCGACGCCUGCUGAACUCCUUCCGAGCUGUCGUAAACUCACUGGAGCUGUCUGAAUUGCGCCUUCAUGGCUGGCGUUUCACCUGGACCAGCAGCUGCCAGCAACAAACUAGAACAAAGAUCGAC
rnacentral:rRNA from 1 species